GACGAACGCUGGCGGCGUGCCUAAUACAUGCAAGUUGAGCGCUGAAGGUUGGUACUUGUACCAACUGGAUGAGCAGUGAACGGGUGAGUAACGCGUGGGGAAUCUGCCUUUGAGCGGGGGACAACAUUUGGAAACGAAUGCUAAUUCCGCAUAAAAACUUUAAACACAAGUUUUAAGUUUGAAAGAUGCAAUUGCAUCACUCAAAGAUGAUCCCGCGUUGUAUUAGCUAGUUGGUGAGGUAAAGGCUCACCAAGGCGAUGAUACAUAGCCGACCUGAGAGGGUGAUCGGCCACAUUGGGACUGAGACACGGCCCAAACUCCUACGGGAGGCAGCAGUAGGGAAUCUUCGGCAAUGGACGAAAGUCUGACCGAGCAACGCCGCGUGAGUGAAGAAGGUUUUCGGAUCGUAAAACUCUGUUGGUAGAGAAGAACGUUGGUGAGAGUGGAAAGCUCAUCAAGUGACGGUAACUACCCAGAAAGGGACGGCUAACUACGUG
rnacentral:rRNA from 1 species